rnacentral:rRNA from 1 species
AAUAGAUACCCAGGUAGUCCACGCCGUAAACGAUGAGUGCUAGGUGUCGGGGGUUUCGAUACCCACGGUGCCGAAGUUAACACAUUAAGCACUCCGCCUGGGGAGUACGGUCGCAAGACUGAAACUCAAAGGAAUUGACGGGGACCCGCACAAGCAGUGGAGUAUGUGGUUUAAUUCGAAGCAACGCGAAGAACCUUACCAGGUCUUGACAUCCCCCUGACCGGUCUAGAGAUAGGCCUUCCCUUCGGGGCAGGGGAGACAGGUGGUGCAUGGUUGUCGUCAGCUCGUGUCGUGAGAUGUUGGGUUAAGUCCCGCAACGAGCGCAACCCUUGAUCUUAGUUGCCAGCACUUUGGGUGGGCACUCUAAGAUGACUGCCGGUGACAAACCGGAGGAAGGCGGGGAUGACGUCAAAUCAUCAUGCCCCUUAUGACCUGGGCUACACACGUACUACAAUGGCCGGUACAAAGGGCUGCGAAGCCGCGAGGCGGAGCCAAUCCCAGCAAAGCCGGUCUCAGUUCGGAUUGCAGGCUGCAACUCG